rnacentral:rRNA from 1 species
GACAGAGGGUGCAAACGUUGUUCGGAUUUACUGGGCGUAAAGCGUGUGUAGGCGGCUUUGCAAGUCGGAUGUGAAAUCCCACGGCUCAACCGUGGAAGUGCAUCCGAAACGGCAUCGCUUGAGUCUCGGAGAGGAAGGUGGAAUGCUUGGUGUAGAGGUGAAAUUCGUAGAUAUCAAGCAGAACACCUGCGGCGAAGGCGGACCUUCUGGACGAUGACUGACGCUGAGACACGAAGCGUGGGAGCAACAGG